GGUGGGACCCUCGGUGUGGCCAGCGGGGUUAAAGGGCCGUGGGAAGAAAUUUCUCCUUCCAAAUAAUAGAACACCUCCGUUGGAUUGUUUUACGCUGCCGUGGCAGAACGCUUAAACCCUAGCCGACCUCGUCGCGUUCCUUUGCAGUCCUCGCCCCACCGACGGAAACCUCCCGUCUUGAUGUCUUACUCUCUCUGUUCAGCUGCUCAAGAACCACAGACAAGGCGGACAUGGAAUUUUGCAGCAAACUUGAUGGCUUAAUUGGGCAAGGACUUUUCAGUAAUGCAAUAUCAAGUGGACCAAAUGCUAUGCUUAACUCUGUGCGCUAUAUGUCAUCAACAAGACUUUUCGUUGGAGGUCUCUCCUAUGGGACUGAUGAUCAGUCACUCAGGUUUUGGAAAUGUGGUUGAAGGCUAUCUCAUAAUUGAUGCAGCCAGAGUCAUUACUGAUAGAGACACUGGAAGGUCGAGAGGAUUUGGGUUCGUGAACUUUUGACAAUGGUGAAUCAGCAAGCAAUGCUAUGGCUAGCAUGGCUGGUCAGGAAUAACAAGGCUGGAAGUAUCCAUGUAAGCUGCUCUAAUGAUAGUCCCGGUGGUGGGCCUCAAGGUGGUUUCAGUGGUGGUUAUGGCAGUGGCUAUGUCAAGGUUACGGUGGUGGAUCUGCAGAACAGAAUGACUUUGAAGGGGAUUCCAGCAUUUUUCAACGAAUAUAAGAUAUAAUGCUUGCCAUGUAAACAAAUAUCAGCAGCAAUAUCCAUGAUCAAAUUCACGUGGCAAGCAUUAUAUCUUGAUAUUCGUCGAAAAAUGCUUCAAAUUCCCCUGCUGGAAUCCACUUACGUAGUUUAAUUUGGACCCUACAACAGUAAUUGUGGUUUUUAUGGUGCGAAAAACCACAAUCAGCAUACUUAAAAGAUGGAUAUCCUGUUGUUAGGUGUCAUUUGUCACUGGUAAAUUUCUUCAAGAGAUAAUAUUGAUGGGAA